rnacentral:rRNA from 1 species
GCGCAGCAGUCGCGAAUACUUUACAAUGUGCGAAAGCACGAUAAGGGAACUCUGAGUGCCUCCUACGGAGGCUGUUCAGGUGCCUAAAACACACCUGAAGGAAGGGCUGGGUAAGACCGGUGCCAGCCGCCGCGGUAACACCGGCAGCCCAAGUGGUAGCCACUUUUAUUGGGUCUAAAGCGUCCGUAGCCGGCCAGGUAAGUUCCGUGGGAAAUUUGGCCGCUUAACGGUCAAACUACCAGGGAAUACUGCCUGGCUUGGGACGUGGGAGAGGGCGAGAGGUACUCCAGGGGUAGGGGUGGAAAUCCAUUAAUACCCUGGGGGACCGACCGGUAGCGAAGGCGUCUGUCCAGACCAGGUCCGACGGUGAGGGACGAAGGCUAGGGGCGCGAACCGGGAUUAGAUACCCGCGUAGUCCCUGAGAC